UACGUAGGGUGCGAGCAUUGUCCGGAAUUAUUGGGCGUAAAGAGCUCGUAGGCGGCCUGUCACGUCGGAUGUGAAAGCCCGGGGCUUAACCCCCGGGUCUGCAUUCGAUACGGGCAGGCUGGAGUUCGGUAGGGGAGAUCGGAAUUCCUGGUGUAGCGGUGAAAUGACGCAGAUAUCAGGAGGAACACCGGUGGCGAAGGCGGAUCUCUGGGCCGAUACUGACGCUGAGGAGCGAAAGCGUGGGGGAGCGAACAGG
rnacentral:rRNA from 1 species